rnacentral:rRNA from 1 species
AUUGAACGCUAGCGGGAUGCUUUACACAUGCAAGUCGAACGAGUGGCGGACGGGUGAGAAAUAUAUCGGAACGUGCCCAGUAGCGGGGGAUAAAUACUAGACAGAGUGGCUAAUACCGCAUACUCUUGGAGCUGCCGAUAUCGGAUUAGCUAGUGUGUGGGGUAAAGGCUCACCAAGGCCAAGAUCCGUAGCAGGUUUGAGAGGACGACCAGCCACACUGGGACUGAGACACGGUCCAGACUCCUACGGGAGUCAGCAGUGGGGAAUAUUGGACAAGGGGGGAAAGCCUGAUGCAGCCAUCCCGCGUGUAUGAGAAGGCCUUCGGGUUGUAAAGUACUUUUGGCAGAGAAGCGGUAUCUGCAGAAGAAGCACCGGCUAACUACGUGCCAGCAGCCGCGGUAAUUC